AUUGAACGCUGGCGGCAGGCCUAACACAUGCAAGUCGAGCGAGUGGCGGACGGGUGAGUAAUGUAUGGGGAUCUGCCCGAUAGAGGGGGAUAACUACUGGAAACGGUGGCUAAUACCGCAUACUAUCGGAUGAACCCAUAUGGGAUUAGCUAGUAGGUGGGGGAAAGGCUCACCUAGGCAACGAUCUCUAGCUGGUCUGAGAGGAUGACCAGCCACACUGGGACUGAGACACGUCCCAGACUCCUACGGGAGGCAGCAGUGGGGAAUAUUGGACAAUGGGCGAAAGCCUGAUGCAGCCAUCCCGCGUGUAUGAAGAAGGCCUUCGGGUUGUAAAGCACUUUCGGCGGAGAAGCGGUACUCGCAGAAGAAGCACCGGCUAACUCCGUGCCAGCAGCCGCGGUAAUAC
rnacentral:rRNA from 1 species